CCUUGCAGCACCGAGAGCUCACUGCUGUUUCUCGCAACAAAGUCAUAGGAGCAGCAGAAAUGUCUCUCCCCAGGUGGUGGAAGUCCAUUUCCCUCCCUGGAAUGAUAUUUACAGUGACGUCUCUCAUUUCGAUGGUUUUCUUGUUCAGAUCUUCCAGAGGCAAGCCAGAGGAGUCGAACGCCUGCGGCUGCCAUCCGUCCAGGAAGACUGGCGAGUACGGAGGGACAGACACACCGAGCUGGCAACUGAAGGAAGUAUUGAUUAAGAUUUCUUUGAGAGGUCGAACACAAUUGCAAAAAGAAAAAAAAACACACAUACCUGGGGCAAGUCCAGUUGGGGCCUAACUCAGUCCAAAGCUGUUUUUCCUCCUCGGUCAGAUGGUCCCGGAGCAGCGAAACGGCUCCAGUGGUCAGUGCGGGACUGACCACUGAGCCCCCCAAUUGUGGGCCGCAUGUGGUUUUCACCAUCUAUGACAGAGGCACAAGUCAGUCAGCAAGAAACAGCGCGCGAGAGAGCCUCUCACCCAGAAUGUGAAGGUGGGCACACCAGUUGGAGAGGAAAAAAGAUGUGAUGCAGCAACCGGGGCGCUUUCGGUUCCGUUAUGGCAGACUUGACCCGAUCCUUGAAGUAACCAGCAAAUAGUCACAGGAGUGACAUUUCAAGAAGAAGCAAAAACAGAGCGAUCAGAGUUGUCACAUCUUACCAGCAGACUGAAGGAGUACUUGAUUUUCUGAAAAAUGUCCACAAAGUCGUCCUCUGAUGGAGGAACCGCUUUCAUGCCUUCCGGAGGACUGCAUUGUGUUUGAAAGCUACAACAGCAGCAGGUAAAUUUGUGCUCACUACCAUCUUGGCUCAGCUUCUUGCUCUUCCUGCUUUUUUUCUUCCUCUGAAGAAGAAUGCUCUGG